UAUUCUUUUGUAUAUAUAUACGACUAAAAUAUAUCAAUAAGAUCAAGCUAUUCACGAUUUCUUCAUGGUACCAGAGCCACACGGCUAAGAUACACGAUCGGCAAUGGCUGAUGGUAAUGAUACCACUAUGGUUGGAUCUUCGGUCAAUGGGCAAAGAAACUCUUCCAAUGAUGCAGCCACCACGUCAAACACUGCUGCCUCUCUUCCUCACCUAAGUGCAACACAAUGGCAAACUAUCGCUACUAUGUUUGGUAAUACUCAUUCCUCUACCGAUCGUUUACAUGGACUGUCAUUCGAGGAAGCUGAUUGGAACGGGUGAACGAAGAGAUGGACUUUACUACUUCCGGCCACCGUCUACAAUGCAAGCUAUCUCAGUGGAUGGUUCUUCAUCUUCGUUGGAACUUUGGCAUCAACGUCUUGGACAUCCUUCAGAGAAAGUAGUAAAGUCAUUACCUUUCCUACGUAAUUCUAGUGAUAAAUUAAAUAAGGCAUGUGAUGUGUGACCUCGUGCCAAACAAACUUGUGAUUCUUUUUCUCUUAGUGACCAUAAGGCCUCCCGAAUUUUUGAAUUAGUACAUUGUGACUUAUGGGGUCCUCACAAUACUGUUUCUUCAUGUGGGGCUCGUUAUUUUUUGACUAUUGUGGAUGAUUUUUCCCGAGCUAUAUGGGUUUAUUUGUUGAUUGAUAAA